rnacentral:lncRNA from 1 species
AGGUCCCAUGAGCUUGUCAUUAUCUAAUAAUGACCAAAGUGACAGGGUAGUGGCCAUAGCUGCAUAAAGGAAAACCAGACCUCUAUUAGUACAUAAAUUAUUAAUACUAAAGACUUGGACUUUAGUCUAAAGUUUCUCCCAAUAUUUUUACGAACUGGUAGCCUCAACCUCCAAUUCGAGGAAUUACUUUAAUUCCUUAAUGGGUACUAGAAUCCACACAGACUACACAUGAUCCCAACUUUGGUUGGUCAACCCAUGUGCAUCUAUGGGUAGGUCAUAACC